GACGAACGCUGGCGGCGUGCUUAACACAUGCAAGUCGAACGGAAAGGCCCUGCUUUUGUGGGGUGCUCGAGUGGCGAACGGGUGAGUAACACGUGAGUAACCUGCCCUUGACUUUGGGAUAACUUCAGGAAACUGGGGCUAAUACCGGAUAGGAGCUCCUGCUGCAUGGUGGGGGUUGGAAAGUUUCGGCGGUUGGGGAUGGACUCGCGGCUUAUCAGCUUGUUGGUGGGGUAGUGGCUUACCAAGGCUUUGACGGGUAGCCGGCCUGAGAGGGUGACCGGCCACAUUGGGACUGAGAUACGGCCCAGACUCCUACGGGAGGCAGGAGUGGGGAAUAUUGCACAAUGGGCGGAAGCCUGAUGCAGCAACGCCGCGUGCGGGAUGAAGGCCUUCGGGUUGUAAACCGCUUUCGCCUGUGACGAAGCGUGAGUGACGGUAAUGGGUAAAGAAGCACCGGCUAACUACGUG
rnacentral:rRNA from 1 species